GGGAGAAAGCCUCCCGAAAGCUGCCUGUAGGGGGCGGUUUCAAACCGCCAAGUGCUGCUGUAUUUAAGAGAUAUGGUAGUGAGUGACUUUGGAAAAGGU
rfam:Vibrio ponticus DNA, contig: contig00048_12, strain: JCM 19238.